UUCUUUUGGAGAGUUUGAUCCUGGCUCAGGACGAACGCUGGCGGCGUGCCUAAUACAUGCAAGUCGAGCGGACCGAAUGAGAGCUUGCUCUUGUUUGGUCAGC
rnacentral:rRNA from 1 species